ACGAAGGCUCCAAGCGUUAUCCGGAUUUAUUGGGCGUAAAGCGACAGCAGACGGUAAUGUUAGUCGGGUGUUAAAUCUCUGGGCUCAACUCAGAGGCCGCAUUCGAAACGGCAUCACUAGAGGCAAGGAGAGGUGAGUGGAACUCAUGGUGUAGGGGUGAAAUCCGUUGAUAUCAUGGGGAACACCAAAGGCGAAGGCAGCUCACUGGCCUUGUCCUGACGUUCAGUGUCGAAAGCGUGGGGAGCGAAUGGGA
rnacentral:rRNA from 1 species